rnacentral:misc_RNA from 1 species
CUGUGUUUACCACGGCAAGUUUGCAGCCCUGUUCCGGGCACGACUUGAACCUGUUUCACUCGAGGAAUAUGUCGGCACGGGUGUUUUUUGCUGUGUCAUAGGGACGCUCUGCUUCGCGUGCACUGCCCGUAGGUUCGUUUUCGUUUUCGAGGCGUCGUUGGCGACCACACCAGAUGCACCGGUAGAGGCGUUCGCUCCGCGUUCACCGUCGCUGACUUUUCCGCUCGAAAUACGCCCAGCAAGACGAGGAGGCACCGGUAUCGCUGGUCCUAAUCGUUCAAAGACGUUAGCGGCGGCCCGCUCGGCUGAGCUCGGCGUGUUCCGGGAGCGCUUGUCGUCGCCAACAGCUGCUGUCGCUGCCGGACGCUUUUCCGGAACCUUUGGUGGUGCGCGUACACUCGCUCGGUGUAGAUAUUCGCCUUGUUGAUUCAUCGGGGAGGAGUUUUUGCCUUUGAGCUGCGACGCGUCUGCAGGAGGCGGAUGCGCUGGCGGCACCGUCCUCCGUUCCGCGGACCCGAUGCUCCCGGUAGUGCUCCGCUGGGGCACAGAGGCUGGGGCGCGCGUAGACGCUGCAGCUUCUGCUCUCGUGCCCAGACGAGCAAAAACUGGAAUCGGUCUUGAGUCGCGCGUCUCGGUUCCUGGUGACGAGUCGCUAGCCCGCGGGUGCUUUCGGGUUGUUCCAUGCAGAGCAGGUGCCACGGGUGCCGGCGAGUGCCGAGCGCUUUUUCCCAGACCUGAUCGCUCUCGAGCACGCGACACGCUCAGCGGUUGCGGCUGAGAGAGGUUUGCGUUCAACUGGGCAGGUUUUUGCUCCGUGUCCGACGCUGCAUGAUGCCUGUGACCCAGCGUAUCCUCAUCUGGUCUCUGAUGCGGCAUUCGUGGCGGCAUUUUGGUACGAACGGGCGCGGUAGAGCCCGUUGCUGUGACACCAGAAGAGGUCGCCCUCGAAGUCGGAACGCCUCGCGAUACCGCAUUCCUGUCGGCGGCUGCAACAGUAGGUUGUCGACGUUCUCGCGCAGGCUCCGUUCUCUGCAUGGCAUGCUGACCUCUGUCCAAGGGGUGCUGUUUAUCCACGCUCGCUGCCUCGUUGCCGUGUUGGUUUGCAGCCUGAAAGCGUUGCACAUGCGUCUGUCGCUGCUGGUGCUGCUGCUGCUGCUGGUGCUGCUGCUGCUGCUGCGUUUGGAGCGGCGCAAGAGGCAGCCCCGGUCUCGUGGUAUUCCCAGUCAUCUUUCCACUGCGGGCAAAGGCAGCUUGUUUCCUCGGCAAUGAAUUUCCGUAGUUCGGGGCUGUUGCUUGAGCGCUUUCAGUAGCCUUCCGAUCCGGCGGUAGCAAGCGCUGAUUCUUGGUCGACACACGCGAGUACUCGAUUUCGCCAAAUGGUGCACCUGAGGGUUCCAUCGACGUCACCUGGAGCGCCGACGAUCGACGCCCUGGUCUUGGCCUUUCUGCGUCUAGAUGAUGAUUCGCGGUCUCUGUGGAUUUGAAGCUGGAGGGUAUCGGACGCGCAUUGGCGACGCUUCCACUUCGAGGCGCUGAUUUGUCGGGAUCUCUGUCGCCUCGUUCGGGUACGUUUUGUGCUUCAGAUGUUGGAGAACGCUUGGAUACAUCCUGCACAUGCGUGGGUGUCUUUCGUUCGUGCGCCUGCGGCCGGCGCUCCUGGUAGCUUUCUCCUUCUGCAGAAGCAGUCAUCCGCGGCCGCGGCUGUGCUGAUACAGCACGCUCAUUUGUCGUGCUCGGCGCUUCAGCGCUUUCCAUGGAUCUGGGCUCAGGCUGGAGCGCUGCCGCCGAAUCCCGCGUCACAUCGCGUUGAGUUCCCGUCUCCAUGUCAUGCCCAAGUUCUGGAUGCUGAUCCCUAUUCAUCAAAAUAAUACCCCAGAUUACUUCCUGGAACUCACGCGCGGUGGGCAGUUCGCCUGUCCCAAAGAAAUGUUCCUUCUGAUCCAUUCCUGGUAACGGGAAGUAGGGUAAAUCGGGGCGUAUAUCUGCUGGUAACAGCUGAGCGUUUUCCACCGAGUCUGUUGGCGUGGAGCCUCGCGGCGAUGACGCCGCGCUCUCCGAUGGCGCAUCGGAAGCAGCAACUUGGCGACGAGUUGUUUCCGAUUCCUUUUUAUCCAUGGGCACUGGUUGCUUCGUCUCGGAUCCUUGUAUCGUCGUAACGUCGGAAGCGAUGGUAUUGUCCUCGCGUGCCCCCGCUCGUGCUUCCGCAAGGCGCGCCAUUCGCACCGCCAGGGGUUCUUUGCUGAACUCACGAUCGUCUGUGGCUAGGGUCACGAAUUUACCACCUGGAAGCUGAAGCUCGGUCCCUCCAUCUACAGGUGCAUCAAUCGUUUUUAGCAUGCUCCGCGGAAUGCCAGUUGGUCGCUUCACACGAAUGAUAUUCACAUCGCCUUCCAGGUUUGCCGUGCAGUGUUGGAUAUAAUGGCCUGGCUCUCCGCAGCGGUGACAGAUAUAACCUGGCGGUGGCUGCGCACCCGGCGGUGGCCCAUCCAUCGCUCCCGAGGCCGUUACGCGGCCGCCUGGACGCUGGAUGUUUCGUGGAUUCGGGCCCGAGUCUCCUGCGCCAGCUGCGAGGGCCACGGAGGCAAGGCGCGUGUCUUCGUCACCUCGACGGAGCCGGACAGGUUCACUGCCCGUCAUGCCUGUGUUCGCGGUUGUGCUGGGUCCCAGGUUGCCAGCAAGCACCUGCCGUGCAGCUGCAGCAAUAGCGCCCGCUGUGGCACCCGUGCCGCCGGUUGAGCGGUCGAGAAUCUCAGCGAAGCGCUCAUUUUUCCUUGCGAGUGCGAUCUGACUCAAUAUGCCCUGCUUCUGGCCAGCAGGCACUCGUUUCACGAUAACCGAAGUGUUCUUCGGUAUCAAGGUUUCUUCGUCGUAGUACUCUUCCUGGGUUUGUGCGUCAACUACUUGUAAGUCAAAGUCCUCGCCAAACUGCAGUUUUUCUUGCUCCACAAUGGCUACUUUUAGCUCUGCGAGCUGAAUAAAGUCCCCC